rnacentral:rRNA from 1 species
GAAUGACUCCUGGCAAUGGAUAUCUUGGCUCUCGUGUCGAUGAAGAACGUAGCGAAAUGCGACACUUGGUGUGAAUUGCAGAAUCCCGUGAACCAUCGAGUUUUUGAAUGCAAGUUGCGCACGAGGCCAUUAGGUCGAGUGCACGUCCGUUUGGGCGUCAUGU